AACUUACCAGGUCAAGACAUGGGCGUGAUUGACAGGCUAAUGACUUUUCUCGAUUCCAUGGAUGGUGGUGCAUGGUCGCACUUAGUUGGUGCAGUGAUUUGUCAGGUUUAUUCCGGUAACGAACGAGACCUCGGCCUUGUAAAUAGCUAUGCUGCUUACAGGGACAUUGGCGGCUACGCCAAGGAAGCUCGAGGCAAUUGCAGAUCUGGAAUGCCCUUAGAUGUCCUGGGUCGCACGCGUGCUACAAUGACGCCACGAACGAGCUUGCGUGAUGAAAGUUACGCAUAAUCAGCAGUCGGCGUCUUAAGGGAUAGUCUCUUGUAACUGUGGGACUCCAACUAGGAAUGUCUCGUAAGCACAAGUCAACAUCUUGUGUUGAUUACGUCCCUGCUCUUUGUACACACCGCCCGUCGCUCCUACCGAUCGAGUGUUUAGGUGAAUUUGAUGGACGUAAGGAAGUCAAAUAAACCUGAGCACUAGAGAAGAGAAGUCCUACAUUC
rnacentral:rRNA from 1 species